UAUCGCCUACGCACACGCCGUAUACCCCGUGUGGAGCCAAGUGGCACGGAGUUACUGAAAUUGGAAAUGCGCCCCAACAUUCAGUAGCUCAUUAUCGUGAUCAGUUAUCAUUGAUUCGUCCGGGCCAGUUUCUGUGGACACCAUAUACAGAUUGUAUCCUGCCCGAUUACUGCAUUGAUUCGACCACAUCCUACUUGUGCGACACAUAUUUGGUGUGCUGGUCAUUUGUCGAGGCACACGAGGCUGGACGCGUUUGCCGACAAAUCAACCGCUACCAGCGUAUUCCUCAGUAUUGUGAUAGGAUGCUA